rnacentral:rRNA from 1 species
CUCGUAGGCGGUUUGGCAAGUCGGGUGUGAAACCUCCAGGCUCAACCUGGAGCCGCCACUCGAUACUGCCAUGACUCGAGUCCGGUAGGGGACCAUGGAAUUCCUGGUGUAGCGGUGAAAUGCGCAGAUAUCAGGAGGAACACCAGUGGCGAAGGCGGUGGUCUGGGCCGGUACUGACGCUGAGGAGCGAAAGCGUGGGGAGCAAACAGGAUUAGAUACCCUGGUAGUCCACGCCGUAAACGUUGGGCACUAGGUGUGGGACCCCAUCGACGGGUUCCGUGCCGUAGCUAACGCAUUAAGUGCCCCGCCUGGGGAGUACGGCCGCAAGGCUAAA